AGACCCGAAACCCGGUGAUCUAGCCAUGGGCAGGUUGAAGGUUGGGUAACACUAACUGGAGGACCGAACCGACUAAUGUUGAAAAAUUAGCGGAUGACCUGUGGCUGGGGGUGAAAGGCCAAUCAAACCGGGAGAUAGCUGGUUCUCCCCGAAAGCUAUUUAGGUAGCGCCUCGUGAAUUCAUCUCCGGGGGUAGAGCACUGUUUCGGCUAGGGGGCCAUCCCGGCUUACCAACCCGAUGCAAACUGCGAAUACCGGAGAAUGUUAUCACGGGAGACACACGGCGGGUGCUAACGUCCGUCGUGAAGAGGGAAACAACCCAGACCGCCAGCUAAGGUCCCAAAGUCAUGGUUAAGUGGGAAACGAUGUGGGAAGGCCCAGACAGCCAGGAUGUUGGCUUAGAAGCAGCCAUCAUUUAAAGAAAGCGUAAUAGCUCACUGGUCGAGUCGGCCUGCGCGGAAGAUGUAACGGGGCUAAACCAUGCACCGAAGCUGCGGCAGCGAACGUAUCACCCAAGACAACUUUGCGGAGUUGACGAUUGACGGAGCGAAGCGACGUCAAAGCGUUCAUUAAAGUCGAGUUGGCUUAGGGAUACGUUCGUUGGGUAGGGGAGCGUUCUGUAAGCCUGUGAAGGUGGCCUGUGAGGG
rnacentral:rRNA from 1 species